UUUUUUUCUGAUGUUAUCUUGGUUAGUGUUAUCUUCCUCUCUAUGUUGCUUUAUAUAUUUCAUUGGAUUCAAAUUUUAUGUUUUUUGACAUAAUUUGUGAUAUGUAUCAAUUUAAUAUUACCGUAGCAAUUUAACAGGGGUCCAGUGCAUAAUAUAUGAAUCUGACAGCCAACACAAGAACCUGGUCUUUCCACUUUAGACGCACUUCGAGAAGCUGGGAAGAGAUCUCUGCCAGGGAAUUAACUGAGAUGCUGAACAGAGCUAAAUUUAUUGAAGGUCAAGACUCAAGGCUCUGAUAGGGAUCCAACCCAGGGUAUUU
rnacentral:lncRNA from 1 species